ACGAUGUCAAGAGGGCAUCUUCUAUUCAUCUAUUUGUAUCUCUCCCAGACUUCAUAGAGGGACUCUCCCUCUUUCUGUCUAAAGGUCUGGACAUCUAUUCUAAGCUU